UGCCACAGGGAAGUGCUUGAGAAUUGGCUUCGAAAGCCCAGGAGCUGGGGCGGUGGGGCGGUAGGGCAGGCCGUCCUCUGUGAACAAUUAGCCUCAGCAUCACCCAGUGAUUCUUCUCUCUCUCUUUCUUUCGGCUGCGCCCGUGGCAUAUGGAAGUUCCCAGGGCAAAUCACGGCCCCGCCACAGCAGCGACCCAACCCAAGGUGCUGUGCUACAGGGAUAACCCCAGUUCCUUAGUCUACUGCACCACGGGGACGUGUUCAAGCCUCACGCUGGACCUGGUGAAUCAGAAUCUGGGGAGACAGGCUCCCAGCGUGGUCCUGAAAAAGUCCGUCUGGACCGCUUACCACUGUGAAUCUCUGCCUGGUGGUGUCAGCGUAUUGGACUUGACUUCCCGGUCAAGAAUGAUCUCAGUUUCUGGAAAGUCUGAUGUCUCUUUGAGCUCAGACUCCCUUUCAUGACUUACAGGCAAAUCUCAGCUCCUCUGAGCUAGAAAUCAUUCGAAGAUUCUGUGAAUAAUCACCAUCCCUCAACCAGCAUGUCUGAGGGUAUGGCACCCAGAGGAGGGGGGAUGUGUCCAGGCCAGCCCAGAACCAGGCGCCCUCCUGGGCCCUGAGCUCUGCAUCAACUUCCUUGGCUGUCAUUUCUCUGCCAGGAUCCCUCGGGCCCUGUCCGCAGGAGAUAGAGGUGGUCUGACCAGAGGCCAAGCGAUGCUGCAGCAGUCC
rnacentral:lncRNA from 1 species